ACGGUUGGCACCACUGGGCAGGUGAGGUGCUCAGCUCCAGGGAAAGGAAACCUGAGCUGUGAGAGAGACCAUCAGAGGACCGGCGAAGCCAUCAGAGGGCAUCUGAUCACUCAUACCCUGUUCCAUUUGGGAAUUCCUUCUUGCCCAUGAACUCCUUCCUAAAGAUUCCGCAGAGACCGCUAGGCCCGCCGGUGUGCUCUUGAGCAGGUCACUCCAGCCUCCGCCAGGCAGGGGAACCAACGGGGAUGAGGAAGAGAAGGCCGUUGAAGGUGGUCCUUGCCUUUAUCACUACACAACAGAUGAACAGAGGGGACGGGAAAAUAAGAUAAAAACGGAGAGGGAGGCCAACCAGAGAUCCUUUGAACUACAGACACUGAGGGUUGCGGGAGGGGAGGUGGGGGAGGAUGGCCUCAGUGCGUGAUGGGCACGAAGGUGGGGGCUUGCUGGGAUGAGCACUGGGUGUUAUGUGUCGGGGUGAAUCACGGGGUGCUACUCCUGAAACCAAAAGUGCCCUGUAUGUUAACGAACUUGGAUUUAAAUAAGUUAAAGGAUUACAAAAAGAUUUUACCAGCGGCAUAGA